rnacentral:lncRNA from 1 species
UGAAGAAACUAAGGAUGGCAGCAAGUUUAAGGCAUAUAUCACUUGACUCUAGACACUGGUUCCUUUGUGUCUUGAUCCAAGAAAGUGAAAUGGGGAAAAAAAUGGUGCUAAAAUUUGAGUGAAAGAAUGGGAAAGCCUUUUAGAGCCUAAAUUUUACAUGGCAAGUGGUUAUCCUGACAGUAGAAAGCUCCCUUGUACCAAGCCAGAGCCCUCUAAGGUACCAGAUUCUUACAACAAGGAUGGCAGGUUCUUCCAGACUGCCAGGGACCUGGUAGAUUUUGAGAAGAGGUGUUUUUUGUUUGUUGCCAACCUCCUGUUUACCAGAAGUAACAUACCAUUUUCCAUAAGCUGUAAAACAAAAUCCAGGAGAUCACUAAUCUAGAAGAGGGAAAAGGUUUCCAGG